GAUGAACGCUGGCGGCGUGCCUAAUACAUGCAAGUCGAGCGAACGGACGAUACUCUUUCUUCUCUUCUGUUACCGGCGGACGUGUGAUUCCCACGUGUCUAACCUACCUUUAUGUCUGGCAUACCUUCGCGACCCCUUAUCUAAUACCCGAUCAUAUUUUGAACCUCAUGGUUCUUAAGUUCUCUCCCUUCUUGCUGUCUCUUCUACAUUUUUCCUCGCUGCAUUAGUUAGUUGGUAAGGUAACGGCUUACCAAGGCAACGAUGCAUAGCCGACCUGAGAGGGGGAUCGGGCACACUGGAACUGAGACACGGUCCAGACUCCUACGGGAGGCAGCAGUAGGGAAUAUUGGGCAAUGGGCGAAAGCCUGACGGAGCAAAGCCGCGUGAGUGAAGAAGGUCUUCGGAUCGUAAAACACUGUAAGUAGGGAAGAAGAGAAGUGAAAGAAAAUGUGGACAUAUUGACGGUACCAAAAGAGAAAGCAACGGCUAACUACGUG
rnacentral:rRNA from 1 species